UUUUUCAGGUUAAUCUUGUAAGAACUAAAGAAAACUUACAAAUAUCCGUUAUGCUUGCAAAGAUGAAAACGUAAAGUUAUCUCCACCUCGACUUAGAUGAGUCUUGAAGAAGUGAUAGGAUAUAUUGCAUCUGAUGAACUUAUUAAGGUAGUUUAUGCCAAGAAUGACAUUGUACUCAACUCGUAAUAUUCUGAUGCAAAAACUAUAACACACUUAAUUAUUGCAUUGUGCCAAGACCAUAUUGAAAAAAAAAUGCAGCAAAAUAGAAAAAGAAAUUUCAAGAGGUAACUUAUGGAAGCUCAUUCGGGACUUCGAUCUCCAUGGAAUUACAACAUUAGGUAUAUGUCAUUUAUCUUGUUUGUUAAUUUCCAAUUUCUUUUCUUGGGGUUUGUGGGCUACUUUGGUUGAUUCCUUUCUAGCAGAUCUUGAUGAACUCUCUGAUGAAGACAAGUUUCAGUACUGCGGUAUUCCAAAAUAUGGACAGCUUGAUCAUGGAACAGAUAAUGAGGUACUAUGCAACUCUUUCUUCUAUACCUUUCAAUUUGUUUUAACAAAUGGAGAAUCUUACAAGGGUAUACUUUGCCACGUGCCACAUAGUAUAAUGAUGGGCACUUCAUUCCAGUAACAAGCUCUAGCCCUAAAUUGUCGCAAGCCAGCAAUGAAUGGUUUAACUGGAAUCGACAACUUCAUGAGUUUACUUUCAAAGAACAUUUUCA